UUUCCAUUUGCUUCCUGUAUGUUCCAUUUGCUUCCGGUACGUUCUUCUUCCCCCUCUCAACACUCUCGCUCUUCACUUUCUCUCUGCAACCUUAAAACUCUCAAACCACAAGCCAACCAUAACCAAACCCUCCUCAACUCUUCUCUCUCUUUCCUUUCACUUUUAUCUCCGUGACUCACUUAAUAGAAAGUGUCGUACGGCGCCGAUUUCGACGAUUCUGGCAACAGCCGGCCUCGAGGUUGGUCUCAAACGGUUGCUCUUCACAUUAGGUAGCUUCUAGGCCUAUUGCAGGUAUGUCUGCACGAUUGGUGGUUGAUCACAGCCGAAAUUGACGUCGGAGGGAAGAGGCUAGCAUUUUCCGGCGUGACUUCUAGAGAGUGAGAUACAUUUCAUUGUUCUAGGGUGUUAUUUAUUUUAAUUUUUGUAAUAAGAUUAUUUUGGGUUCAGUUCUUUUUUUCACAAGUGAUGCUGAAUUGACCACAAAAAGUAUAAAAAAGUUGCAGACUUUAUGAAUGGAAGAGAGCAAACGCAGCAAGUUCAGGAGGAUUUGUGUGUUCUGUGGAAGCAACUCUGGCCGCAGGAAAGUGUUCCGUGACGCUGCUCAGGAGUUGGGCAAUGAACUGUUAUGACUGCUUUUGUUCUAUUUUUACACUCUCUUUGCUUAUCUUUGUUUAAUUGUGUUUAUGGUUGUUUAAGUGCUGGAUUUUAGGUUUAAAAAUGUAAUCUUUGAUGAGUUUGAAUCCACCUUGAGUUGUUUUUGAUGGGUUUUUGUGUUUUUUUGGUAAUGGGAUUGUUUUGGGUUUUUGUAUUUUAGAGCAAUGUCUCCAACGGAGAAAAACUUACACAUCAUGUGUUGUUCGUGGUUGUAUUUUGUUGUUCUUUCCGUAUUGUUAUUUGUUUAUUUUUUUUAUUUUUAAACUUUUGAUAGGUGCUAAACCAAAUUUUAAUCUUUUUUUGGUAUUUUGGGUAUGCUCUGUUUGGGUUGUUGUUGUUGUUGUUGUUUGGGUAUGCUCUGUUUGGAUGCUCAGAGAGAUAGGAUUUACUUUUGGAUAUGCUCUAUAAGAAACUACAAUUUACAUUUGGUUUUGGAUAUGCUCUAUAUUUCAGAUUAUCUUUUAAUUUGAUAAUGUGUGUACUGAGAAAUUACAAUUUUUUUUCUUUAACUCGAUUUCUCAUAUUGAAGACUCAGGGCAAAUACUUGAAGAGAACUUGACCACUAUUGGCUGCUCUUUAACUCUAUUUCUCAUAAUUAGUACAGUAGCUGAGCAAUCUGGUAACAUUUUCAUCCUGGUACAACCUUAUUUUUGUUAAUUUUCCAAUUUAUCUCUUUACUCGGUCACUUUUAAGCAAAUCACAAUUGCGCCUCUACAUUUAUCCGCUCAUUACUAUUUAUGUUUGCUGCUUAUUUUUCAUUGGGAUUUGUUCUAAAAUUCUAAUUUGUUUGAGCAAUGACAAACUGGAAUUGAUUUUGAAAUUCCGUCACUAUGCAAAAUUGCAAAGGGGUGAUCAAACAAAACACAUAAUUUUGAUACACCUGGCUAAAGCAUUGGAAUUCCAUCAUUAAUAAAUUGAAAAAACCAACAAAAAUCCUUGAUUUUAAGCAACAUACUGAUCAAGUUGACCCAACCUAAGAUAACCAUCUCUAUGUAUGUAUACAAGAAAAAACUGUUGGACAGUUAUAUAUACAUAGUUCAUGUGUGUUACAUAGUUCAUAUCAAAAUUUAUUUACAUAGUUCACACAGAAAUAUAGGUGUUGGUAGCAUAAGCAAAUACACAACUUAUUUACAAAAACUUCAAAAUCUGUUUAGCUCUUUAUCACUGAAAAUAGAUAGCUAUUUCAUUUACCAUUUGCAAUUAAAGUUGAACAAUGCUUGCUCCCAAUAAAUAUUUGGAAUUAGCCAUGUAUUUCGUUUUGCUUUUAUUUUGGGGUUUCCUUCAAAAUUUCUAAUACUUGGAAAAGGUGGUAAAUGUGCAUGUUUUAUAUGCAUGUUUCAGAUUGUUUUGAGUUAAUGAGUUGGUGUUUUGUGUGGCUCAACUAAGAUGAGAAUAUAUUUCUGUUGCCAACUAUGGAUUUCAAUGGAUAUGUGUGUUGCGUCAUCUGAUAUCAAUUUAAUACAUUUUAUUGAAUACAAUUUUACUCUCGCAUCUUUUAAGAGUUAAUUGAAUUAGAGCAAUAUUUAUUGAAAAUUUUGUUGCUGAGAAUUUUGUGGGAUUUCCCGAGGCACGAAUUCUCACCUUUAGAUGGCCCAGUUAAUUUUGCUUAGUGCUGAUGUAUAAGGAGAACUCUCAUUGCAUCAACCCUCAGCAAACAUGCUUUUGCUUAGUUGCUAACCCAGUUAAUUUUUAUGCUCUAUUUGCCUUCUCCAUUUCCAGUUGAAUGAAUUGGUUGAAGUGUGUGACUGUAAAUUAUAUUGGUUAAUGAACGCCUUCAAGAAUAUUCUGAUUUGGUCCCUUAUGUAUCUAUAUAGUAUCAAACUAUAUAACUUUCUUUUGCAUGAUCCUUUACUGUAUUUCUUUGCUGUUGCACUAGAUUUAACCUUGGUUCUUGACUAAUAUGUGAUGGUGGAUAUGCAUUGCUUUUAUUCAGGAGUAUCAGAAUUGGGACAUGGCAUGGGCUUUGCCAGCAUUAUAUGACAUGCUUAUGAGAUUAGGGUUUUAGCUGAGAGGUUAAGUUCAAUAAAUUAGGUAUGUUUCAAUAACGAGAUAUGUGCUUUAUUUAGUAAUUGGUUGUUGAUAUGUUGGGAAGACGGAUUGACUAAGACUAUUGCGUGUGGUUUUGUAAACUGUUUUGGUUCUUUAUUGAACAUUAGAAUCAUAGAAUGUAAAUAAAUUUUAAUAUAGAUGAGAAUAAAUUUAAUAUAUUUCACAUGUUUAA